AUGUCUGAGAAGGAGAAGGAGAAUGAUGGAGAUUCAACCUUAUCAGUCACUGAACCUCCAGUGUCUCAACUCAGUCAGAAGCACAUGUUCUGGUUCCCUUCAGAGGCCUUCCAGGAAGAGGAGGAGCAGCCGGGUAUCACCACUGAUUUCUCCUCUGUUAAAAACCCCAAUGAAGAUGAGAGUCACAUGACAGUCAAAACAACCAACAGCCAGUCUGGUCCUGACAUUAUCGCAGAGGAAAGUGACUAUACGACAGAUCCUCCCACCGAUGAACCUACCAGUCCCAGUGCUGGCGGCUCCUGGCUUGAAGGAUACCCUGUUACUCAGGAUGAAGAUAAAGCUGGAAGUGAGUCCACAGGGGAGGCAGGGCCAGAACAAGAUACGGAGUCAGAAACCAAGACCUUGACUGGCCACUCGGAAGUUGAGGUGUUUGAGGAUGUAACCAAAAACUCUGUGGAAGAAGAGACUGGAGGUUUGAUUGACAACCCUGAGGAGGAUGAAGAUGAAGAAAUAAAAAAUCCUGAGGACACAAUCCACAUGAAAGGAGACGAGGAGGAGCUCGGUAAAGGGACAACCAGACUUGAAAAGGAAGAGUCUGUUGUAACACCUUAUGAGGAAACAACUGAAGGACUUUCAGAAGAUGAAAUGGUGAAAGAAACGUACACAUCAGAGGAAACAGACUCUGAUGGAUCCAAAACAUUGGGGUUUGAUGGUGUUACUGACAGUCCAAAUGGUGUGGAGGUGAAGCCCAUCACCUUCAUUACUCAGAUCACACCCAGUCUAGUUGAUAUUGCUGUACACAAGCGGCCCACGGCGUACACACCGGCUUCCGCUCCUGAAAACGUGAGCACCAGUCAAGGCGGCUUGGGCCCUGAGAACACAUCCACAGCUUCUGGGAUGGUACAUCUGGAUGGUCCACCUGAUUAUAUCACCAGCAUGCCCACACCCGUCAUCAAGGAUCCAUGGGAAACCUUCGAUGACCACUUCCUGGAGCACAUACCUGGUCACGUCCCAACUGAAAACCCUGAAAAUCAGAGCGUGAUGGAAAGAGGUGUAGAUCACAGCCUCGAUCAACAGGAGCGGGCUGGAGAGGGUGCAUGUGCAGAAGACCCCUGUCAUGGUUCAGGCCGUGGGCCCAUGAUCGCGGCCAUUAUCGUUGCCAUCGUAGCAGCGGUGGUGGGUGUGGUCUUGGGGGUGUGGUGUUAUAAAAAGAGGCAACAAAAGAGCUCUCACUAUCAGCUCAAUGGAACUAACAGGCAAACGCAGUGCAUUGAAUUACAACAGACUGUGUGA
ensembl:lncRNA